rnacentral:piRNA from 1 species
UUGAUUUUUACUCCUUCACAAUAAUGCCUA